rnacentral:rRNA from 1 species
CAGUAGCCGCGGGAAUACGAAGGGGGCUAGCGUUGCUCGGAAUGACUGGGCGUAAAGGGCGCGUAGGCGGCGAUCAAAGUCAGGCGUGAAAUUCCUGGGCUCAACCUGGGGGCUGCGCUUGAUACUUGGUUGCUUGAGUGGGGAAGAGGGUCGUGGAAUUCCCAGUGUAGAGGUGAAAUUCGUAGAUAUUGGGAAGAACACCGGUGGCGAAGGCGGCGACCUGGUCCUUUACUGACGCUGAGGCGCGAAAGCGUGGGGAGCAAACAGGAUUAGAGACCCGAGUAGUCCCUGUCUCUUAUAC